rnacentral:rRNA from 1 species
GAGUUUGAUCCUGGCUCAGGAUGAACGCUAGCUACAGGCUUAACACAUGCAAGUCGAGGGGCAGCAUGGUCUUAGCUUGCUAAGGCCGAUGGCGACCGGCGCACGGGUGAGUAACACGUAUCCAACCUGCCGUCUACUCUUGGACAGCCUUCUAAAGGAAGAUUAAUACAAGAUGGCAUCAUGAGUCCGCAUGUUCACAUGAUUAAAGGUAUUCCGGUAGACGAUGGGGAUGCGUUCCGUUAGAUAGUAGGCGGGGUAACGGCCCACCUAGUCUUCGAUGGAUAGGGGUUCUGAGAGGAAGGUCCCCCACAUUGGAACUGAGACACGGUCCAAACUCCUACGGGAGGCAGCAGUGAGGAAUAUUGGUCAAUGGGCGAGAGCCUGAACCAGCCAAGUAGCGUGAAGGAUGACUGCCCUAUGGGUUGUAAACUUCUUUUAUAAAGGAAUAAAGUCGGGUAUGGAUACCCGUUU